rnacentral:rRNA from 1 species
UGGGGAAUAUUGCACAAUGGAGGAAACUCUGAUGCAGCGACGCCGCGUGAGUGAAGAAGUAAUUCGUUAUGUAAAGCUCUAUCAGCAGGGAAGAUAGUGACGGUACCUGACUAAGAAGCUCCGGCUAAAUACGUGCCAGCAGCCGCGGUAAUACGUAUGGAGCAAGCGUUAUCCGGAUUUACUGGGUGUAAAGGGAGUGUAGGUGGCCAUGCAAGUCAGAAGUGAAAAUCCGGGGCUCAACCCCGGAACUGCUUUUGAAACUGUAAGGCUAGAGUGCAGGAGGGGUGAGUGGAAUUCCUAGUGUAGCGGUGAAAUGCGUAGAUAUUAGGAAGAACACCAGUGGCGAAGGCGGCUUGCUGGACAGUAACUGACGUUCAGGCUCGAAAGCGUGGGGAGCAAACAGGAUUAGAUACCCUGGUAGUCCACGCCGUAAACGAUGAUUACUAGGUGUGGGGGGAUUGACCCCUUCCGUGCCGCAGUUAACACAAUAAGUAAUCCACCUGGGGAGUACGACCGCAAGGUUGAAACUCAAAGGAAUUGACGGGGGCCCGCACAAGCAGUGGAGUAUGUGGUUUAAUUCGAAGCAACGCGAAGAACCUUACCAGGUCUUGACAUCGAGUGACGUAUCCAGAGAUGGAUAUUUCCUUCGGGACACAAAGACAGGUGGUGCAUGGUUGUCGUCAGCUCGUGUCGUGAGAUGUUGGGUUAAGUCCCGCAACGAGCGCAACCCUUGUCCUUAGUAGCCAGCAGUAAGAUGGGCACUCUAGGGAGACUGCCGGGGAUAACUCGGAGGAAGGUGGGGACGACGUCAAAUCAUCAUGCCCCUUAUGACUUGGGCUACACACGUGCUACAAUGGCGUAAACAAAGGGAAGCGAACCUGUGAAGGCAAGCAAAUCCCAAAAAUAACGUCUCAGUUCGGAUUGUAGUCUGCAACUCGACUACAUGAAGCUGGAAUCGCUAGUAAUCGCAGAUCAGAAUGCUGCGGUGAAUACGUUCCC